AGUGAACGCUGGCGGUAGGCCUAACACAUGCAAGUCGAACGGCAGCACAGGAGAGCUUGCUCUCUGGGUGGCGAGUGGCGGACGGGUGAGGAAUACAUCGGAAUCUGCCCAGUCGUGGGGGAUAACGUAGGGAAACUUACGCUAAUACCGCAUACGACCUUCGGGUGAAAGAGGGGGAUCGCAAGACCUCUCGCGAUUGGAUGAGCCGAUGUCGGAUUAGCUAGUUGGCGGGGUAAUGGCCCACCAAGGCGACGAUCCGUAGCUGGUCUGAGAGGAUGAUCAGCCACACUGGAACUGAGACACGGUCCAGACUCCUACGGGAGGCAGCAGUGGGGAAUAUUGGACAAUGGGCGCAAGCCUGAUCCAUCCAUACCGCGUGGGUGAAGAAGGCCUUCGGGUUGUAAAGCCCUUUUGUUGGGAAAGAAAUCUUUCAGGCUAAUACCCUGGGAGGAUGACGGUACCCAAAGAAUAAGCACCGGCUAACUUCGUG
rnacentral:rRNA from 1 species